rnacentral:lncRNA from 1 species
CAACAGCCUGUAGACAUGGGUCAUAAGAGUCCUCUGCUGGCUAUGGCUCAGGUGACUUGAGGGCAGUUUGCUGGGGAGAGUUCAGCAAACCACUGAGAGAAAUCUACUAGAAACAGUCUGACAAUAAAUUAAGGGAAAAUUCAAUGGCAACAUUCCAAAAGCUAUAAAAGCAACCCGCAAAAAAUUAGAGGCUUGCAUGGAUCCAUAAGGAGAAUUCUUGGCAGUCUGUGUGAGUGCACUUGCAAGUGGGAGAAGGGCAGAAAGAGGAAGACAGAGGAUCCAAAGCUGGCUCCAUGCUGACAGCAGAGAACUUGAUGUGGGGCUUGAACUCACAGAAUUGCAAGAUCUGAGCCGAAUCCUGAUGCUUAACUGACUGAGCCACCCUGGCGCCCCAACCUAUACUUUUUGUUCUGUUUCUUUCAUUCUGUCUUUCUUACUCAGGGGUGCUGCAAGAACUGAACAUUUCAUUGGAUCUGGGAGCAGAAUGGCUUGCACCUUGUUUCUUGAAAGAAACCAAUGAUGAUGAUGGCAAGACCCUGGGGAUGAAAUGCUUCCAUGGUAUGUCCAGGUAAGCAGGGCCAUAGGCAAAUUCACAAAAUACCCAUGCCCAAAGUUUGACGUAAAAGUUGCCAAAGGAUAGGGCACCUGGGUGACUCAGUUGGUUAAGUGUCUGACUCUUGAUUUCGGUUCAGGUCAUGAUCUCACGGUUUGUGAGAUCAAGGCCUGCACAGGGCUCCAUGCUGAC